AGGACGAACGCUGGCGGCGUGCUUAACACAUGCAAGUCGAGCGGAAAGGCCCUUCGGGGUACUCGAGCGGCGAACGGGUGAGUAACACGUGGGCAACCUGCCCUUAGCUCUGGGAUAGCUCCGGGAAACCGGAAUUAAUACCGGAUAUGACCUAGGCCGACAUCGGCUGUGGUGGAAAGUUUUUCGGCUAGGGAUGGACUCGCGGCCUAUCAGCUAGUUGGUGGGGUAAUGGCCUACCAAGGCGACGACGGGUAGCCGGCCUGAGAGGGCGACCGGCCACACUGGGGACUGAGACACGGCCCAGACUCCUACGGGAGGCAGCAGUGGGGAAUCUUGCGCAAUGGGCGAAAGCCUGACGCAGCGACGCCGGCGUGGGGGAUGAAGGCCUUCGGGUUCGUAAACCCCUUUCAGCAGGGACGAAGCGAAGUGACGGUACCUGCAGAAGAAGCGCCGGCUAACACGCGCCAGCAGCCGC
rnacentral:rRNA from 1 species